ensembl:processed_transcript
UGUACACAAAAAUAGACAGUAUUCAGGCGGACAUUUUGGCAGCCAACAAAGUCAAUGCUACCACAGACAGCUGCGACUGCAUUGACAACAGCUCCAUCAGCUUCUCCCCGGGCUCCAACGAUAUGAAUCAGAGGGGCUGCACCAACGACUUUGAGAAACUUCAUUCCAAGUCCAAGGAGUGACAGAGCCCUGUGGCAAGCCAGGAAAGCUAAGGUUGUGCCUUGUGGAAGCCUGCCUGACUGCCAGGAGGGUGGCAUUGAGGAAGGUGCCAUCUGGCCCUGGGUGGGAAGCUGAGUAUUAGAAAAUGCAGGGCGGGAGGAGGAUGCUGUUUCUGCAGAAGGGUCUAAUAAAGAGUCGUGAUGC